GGAUGAAGAACGUAGCGAAAUGCGAUAAGUAAUGUGAAUUGCAGAAUUCAGUGAAUCAUCGAAUCUUUGAACGCACAUUGCGCCCGCCAGUAUUCUGGCGGGCAUGCCUGUUCGAGCGUCAUUUCAACCAUCAAGCCCCCGGGCUUGUGUUGGGGACCUGCGGCUGCCGCAGGCCCUGAAAAGCAGUGGCGGGCUCGCUGUCACACCGAGCGUAGUAGAUUUUAUCUCGCUCAGGGCGUGCUGCGGGUUCCGGCCGUUAAACCACCUUCAUAACCCAAGGUUGACCUCGGAUCAGGUAGGAAGACCCGCUGAACUUAAGCAUAUCAAUAAGCGGAGGA
rnacentral:misc_RNA from 1 species